UGCUCCGGUGACUGGCGACCACACUUUUAAUCAGGUAUUCCGACGGCCCUUGAUUUUUGUUCCGGCUACUGUUACGUUUGACCGGAUAACACUAAUUUACCACUCCCACUUCAUGGCGAGAAUUUGGAUGACAAGAGCUGCAAGAGUUCGAUCUUCAGUUUGGAGAGUUAGCAGUAAACGCCCAGGGGGUGAUGUUGAGAAGUGGAUUGAUGUGAUUCGGAUCGGGUUAGAGGGUAUAACGGUUAAUGAUGCGAAUAAAUCGUUUAAUGGAGUCUGUUCUAGGCUCGAGGAUAUGCUGGAUAGUUUG